rnacentral:rRNA from 1 species
AUUGAACGCUGGCGGCAUGCCGUACACAUGCAAGUCGAACGGUAACAGGUCUUCGGAUGCUGACGAGUGGCGAACGGGUGAGUAAUACAUCGGAACGUGCCUAGUAGUGGGGGAUAACUACUCGAAAGAGUGGCUAAUACCGCAUGAGAUCUACGGAAAGCAGGGGAUCGCAAGACCUUGUGCUACUAGAGCGGCCGAUGGCAGAUUAGGUAGUUGGUGGGAUAAAAGCUUACCAAGCCGACGAUCUGUAGCUGGUCUGAGAGGACGAUCAGCCACACUGGGACUGAGAAACGGCCCAGACUCCUACGGGAGGCAGCAGUGGGGAAUUUUGGACAAUGGGCGCAAGCCUGAUCCAGCAAUGCCGCGUGCAGGAUGAAGGCCUUCGGGUUGUAAACUGCUUUUGUACGGAACGAAAAGCCCCGGGUUAAUACCCUGGGGUCAUGACGGUACCGUAAGAAUAAGCACCGGCUAACUACGUGCCAGCAGCCGCGGUAA